AGCUCCAUUUUGCUCUUUGAGUCAAUGGAUCUGGGUUGGCUCAUGGUUUUUUCACUGACUGUGUAUACAUUGAUGAAAAGCAAUAAUCAUUUGAGAGGACAGCCUUUGCCAUAUGGUUAUUACCGAAAGUGGGUCAAACACAAUGUUUAGAGGUUUUUUUGUGUUUUUGUUUUAUUUAUAAUGUGUAAUAAAAGGGGCACUAAUAAUGGCAAAAGGUAUCUGGGAACACUGGCAUAUACUUAAGGAUCUUGUCCCUAGAUCUUUGUGAGUUAUAAUUAUCUCAGUUGUACUCAUAGUUAAUGUCUCAUAAGUCAAGAGCAGAGCGGAAGAUGAUCGUGGAUUAAUGAUGGCCGCUAGUGCUGCAUGCAUAGUGGAUUGUGACUAUAAGUCUGGGAAGCUGAUAUUCACAUCCUUAAAUACUGAAUAUAUACCCAUCAUUCUAGUGACAAGCUGAGUAGUUUACUUUUAUAAUAAAAAGUAUUAGUGACUACUAAUAAAUUAUAUUUAGAUAAAUUAGAAAAAAAUAUAAAAAUUGGAAUUUAUGUUUUAAUCAAGUAUAGUAAAUGUAUACAUUUACUAUACUUACAUUACAAACAGUAAUUCAUUUGAAUUUGAUAUAUGAGAAUUUCAUACUACAUCCAAAAGACUAUAGGCAAUGGUCUUGGUAGGGUCAGUGCCAUGCUUUCUUUUUAAAAAGAGCACACUGUAGCAUAUUGUAUCCAGAGAGGAGUAAUAAAGAGUGGGGUUAUUUACAGUAGGCACAAAGUGAAUAUCAGUCUUUUUAUUUUCUCUUCUGCUUUGUAUUUAGAAUGGAUACCCCUAAGCUGAUGUAUAUACACCCUUCCUCGGUUGUGAGAUUCCUGCUCUGGUGGUUGUAGUCAUAAGAUAUACAUCGUUGCGUACACCUUGGUUGUGGGCACGCACACUACUGUUGAAUUACCACCUUGUCCAAGUGGAUGGAUGCCCUCAAUGGGAUUGGCACUUUCUCCAUUGCUCCUGCACUCUGUUAUCAGCACUUCGGGUUCAUAAUGUACACACAGCGUGAGUAUAGUCAACCUUGUGUUGAUUUGGGGUGCUCAGAAAUGCUCACACUGUGUUGAUAAAGCCGGCUUAUCAUUUGAGAUGAGAAGCCAUUGCCAAUGACUAAUAUGCCAUGUGACUUAAGAUAGUGUUUAACAGUUUUUUUUGUCAAAUUAAGAGUUAGUUAUUUUCCAGUGAAAAGUAUUUUGAUAAAGCUUUUCAUUUUAUAAAUAUACUGAGUUAAUACCCCAUCCAAAAAUAAGAGAGUAACAAAAUCUAUACUCAGCAUGGCAAUAUCUUGAAUAAUAUCUUGAAUACGUAUUUUUAAGGGCCUUAUUCUUAAAUCUUUGUGAUUCCUAAUCAUUUCCAUAGCAGUAGUGAUCACUGCUUAACAAAGAUGCAGACAUUAAUAGAGGAGAGGAGGCUGAUGUUGGAUCUAUGAUGACCUCUGGUGCCGUAUGAGUCGGGGAUCAUGAUCACAGGUCUGGGAGUCUGAGGUCCACAUCUUAAAAUAUCUAGAAUAUGCCGAUCAUCUCUGUGCCAAAUGCUAAAACUAAUUUAUUUCUAGAAUUAGAUAAAAUAUCAAUAAAAAUAAAUUUGAAAGUCAUUUUCUAAUCAAGACAUAAAUUACAUAACAAGAAUACUAAAACUACCUACCAAACAAUAGCUCUUUCACACUUGAUGCCUGCGAUGCCAUGCCCCGUGAGCUCAAAUUGGAGACAAUGCUUUUGGUAGGGUCAGAGCCAUGAAAUAGUAUAGGUUAUUAUAUAUUUAGGUGGGUGAUGAGCAGAGGGGUAAUUUCAAGUAUUAAAAUGUGUGAAUAAAUUAACUGAAUGCCAAUAUUUUUAUAUUCUGUUCUACUUUAAACUCUCAGAAUGGAUUUUCUGCAGCUGAUUUUCUAUAUUCUGUUUUCUUCGGGUAAGCAGAGUGAGUAUAAUCUUGUUGUUUUGUUUGUUUGUCUGUUUAUAGUAUUGUUGAAAGUUUUCCUCUCUUCUGGAAGAAAUAGCUUGCCCAGAUCAUAAAUAUAGCAUCUGCGUGUCAAAUUAAUAAUGUGUAAGGAAAGAAAUAUGCCACAGGGCUAAUGACCUGUCGCUCCCCAAAUUAAACUAAAAAUCUUGUUUUAUUUUUUUGUGAUUCACAAUUAUUUCAGUAUCACAAUUGAUCAGUUGCUCAAUUCACAUCAAGAAAUAAAUACAGAAGAGAAGGGCUGAUGUAUUUGUGAUGAUCACUGGUGCCAGAUGAGUUAUGCAUCAUGGUCACAGGUCUGCGAGUCCGAGGUCCACAUUAUAAAACACCUAAAUAUACUGAUCACCUUAGUGACAGUUGAUAGGUGUAGUCAACUUUUACAGUUUAAUAAAAUACUAAGAAAUUGGAGAGAAUUUUACAAUCCUAAUAUACAGAAAGAGUAUAUACACUACAUAUACCAAACACAGUCGACCUAUGGGAAGUAAGAAUGCCCCAUUUUAUUAAAAUUAUAAUCAGUAAUCUUAGUGGAACUGUAAGCCAUGACAAUAUAUUUUAUUUUAAAAAAUGAACAGUUGUGUAACACAUUUAGAUCACAAACCACUCACCUUUGUUGACCUUGGAUCCUUUAUUUUUAAAAUUUUACUUUUUUCACAAGGUAUAGCCUGAUCAAGGUUUCUUCUCCUUCAUCUCCCCCCAAGUCCUCCUUCACACUCAUCUAGCGUUUCCCCUUCUUGCUCUGUCUCUUUAGAAAACAAAGACUCAAACAAUACCAAAACAGACAAA
rnacentral:lncRNA from 1 species